UACGUAGGGGGCUAGCGUUGUCCGGAAUUAUUGGGCGUAAAGGGCUCGUAGGCGGUUUGUCGCGUCGGGAGUGAAAACCAGGUGCUUAACACCUGGCUUGCUUUCGAUACGGGCAGACUAGAGGUAUUCAGGGGAGAACGGAAUUCCUGGUGUAGCGGUGAAAUGCGCAGAUAUCAGGAGGAACACCGGUGGCGAAGGCAGGUCUCUGGGCCACUACUGACGCUGAGAAGCGAAAGCGUGGGGAGCAAACAGG
rnacentral:rRNA from 1 species